rnacentral:lncRNA from 1 species
GCUGGGCAGGUUCGCGCCGCCACGCCGACCGCCUCUGGGUUCCCAGAAAGUGGUGGGGUGUUCACGCCGUAUCUCCGUUGGGUACCUAGGCGGGACUUAGACAAACUUCAGCCUCAGCUACGAGAGUGGAACUUGGGGAAUCGGAGGUUGAGGGUUAAGGUUCAAGGCUUGCGGAUCCAGUCUGGAGUUGCUGUGUGGGCUCAUUCCGCUAACUAGGCCUGGCCUGUGCCGACUCGCUCCAGCAAACUCGAGUGUCGCAACACACUCUGUGUGCUUCAGAGCGAGUAGAGGCUUUAAAUGUUACUCUCUCCUCGUCCAAAAUGCAGAAUCAUCUUUUUACCCCAAUCAUGUUCUUUCUCUAGCCUCUCCUGUUGCUGCCGGUAAAUAUUCUUCUUUGUUUAACUAUGGGACUGUCUUUUUCCCUCCAGAGAUACUCACCCACAUACACGCAUACACCACACCUUCUGCACCAAAAACUGGGUUGUUCCCUUGAUGUAAUAUGUACCUAUCCACCUUUCCAUUUAUUUUGCUGUCACACAUGCCAAGGUUUGGCUAUUAGCAAUGGUUUACUAAAUGUUAUUCCUUAUCUACUGGGAAGACCACAAUCAGUUUAAUUUUCUUAAAACUGCUUUAACAUCUUUCUGCUCCUGAAGUCUUCGAGAGUUCCUCAAUCUGACCCUCAGGGAUCUGACUGUCUUAUCUCUUUUUUAAAAACGACUUUAUUUUAAAAUAAUUGACAUGACAAACUGCACGUAUUUAAAUGUCCAAUUUGAUAAGUUUUGACAUACCUGUGCACCCAUGAAAUCACCAUAAUCAAAUGAACGUAUUCACCUCUAAGUUUCCUCCCCCCCCUUCAUAAUCCCUUCAUCUCGUCCCUCUCCAUCACGUCCCUUAUCAACUACAGAUCUACUUUCAGUACAGAUAAGUUUGCACAUGCUAAAGUUUUAUAUACGGGAAUCAUACAGCACGCACCUUUUUUUUCCGUCUAACUUCUUUCAUUCAGCAUAAUUAUUGCCUCUCAAACAUUAUGACCCACAAUUCACUGAAGUAGGAUCUUCUCUCAGAAAAAAAACUAAUCCACCCACUGGUUCCCCCAGCUUGUGAACAAUCUUCAGGUAUUGUGUAUUUCUUCCCCAUCUGGCAGGUCCAGCAGAACCAAGACUUAAAAAUGUUUUAAUAUAUGUGUCACACUAAAUUGUCAGCCUUGGGGAAGGCAUCUUGACUAAUUUAUGCAUGCAGUCAAUAAAUGUUUAUCUUCUGGAUUUCAGUUGGGCCUACACAUUUCCUGCCUGUAGGGAGUUUAUAAUCUAGAAGGUAGAGGCAGACAAACUGGAAAAUCAAAAUAAAAUGAGAUUAGAGUGCUUUGUUUCGUUAGAACUUUGUAACUCUGGUCUUUUUGUACUCACGAAUGCUUCGCUCCUUAGUUGGAUGGUGUAGAAAUGAAACAAGAUGAGCUCCUUGGCACUUGCCAGAACUCUUUGGUAAAUUGGAAAAUUUAGAGUUAGAAAUGGGGAACAGGAUUGGGUGGGCGCGGUGGCUCAUGCUUGUAAUCCCAGCACUUUGGGAGGCCGAGGCGGGUGGAUCACCUGAGGUCAGGAGUUCUAGACCAGCCUGGCCAACACGGUGAAACCCCGUCUCUACUAAAAAUACAAAAAUUAGCUGGGCAUGGUGGCAGGCGCCUGUAAUCACAGCUACUCGGGGGGCCGAGGCAGAAGAAUCGCUUGAACCCAGGAGGCAGAGGUUGCAGUGAGCCGAGAUCGCGCCAUCUCACUCCAGCCUGGGGGACAAGAGCAGGACUUCGUCUCAAAAAAAAAAAAAAAAAAAGAAAAAGAAAAGAAAUGGGGAACAGGAUUUAUCCUUAAUUGAACUAAUCAAAAUAAAUUCCUUAAUUUUCAAGUGAUCAACCAGCCUUGAAAUUCACAGAUGCUGACUUUCAAUCAGCAAUCAAUUCUGGAGAAUGAAUUUAUUCAUUCAAAAAAUAUGUAUUGAGUCAGGCACAGUGGCCCAUGUCUGUAUUCCCAGCUACUCCAGAGGUUGAGGCAGAAGGCUCAUGUGAGCCCAGUUCUGGGCUGUAGUGUGCUAUGCGGAUUGGGUGGCUGUGCUAAGUUCAGCAUCAACGUAGUGACUUCCUGGGAGCAAGGGACCACCAGAUUGCCUAAGGAGGGGUGAAUCAACCCAGGACAGAAAUUGAGCAGGUCAGAAUUCCUGCUGAUCAGUAGUUGGAUAGUGCCUGUGUAUAGCCACCGCACUCAAGCCUGGACUACGUAGCAAGACCACGUCUCUUAAAAAAAUAUCACGCCAGUAAUCCC